UUCCGUUGAUCCUGCGGAAGGUUGCUGCUAUUAGGAUUCGACUAAGCCAUGCAAGUCAGGGGGUUCUUCGGAACACCGGCAGAAUGCUCAGUAACACGUCAAUAAUCUAACCUUAGGUUCAGGAUAACUUCGGAAAACUGAGGCUAAAACUGAAUAAAAGAUGGAAACUGGAAUGUUCCUUCUUUCAAAAGCAAUGCCUAAGGAUGAGUUGGCGGUUGAUUAGGUUGUUGGUGGGGUAAAGGCCCACCAAGCCGAUGAUCAAUAGGGGCCUUGAGAGAGGGAGCCCCGAGAAGGGCACUGAGAUACUGGCCCUAGCCCUACGGGGUGCAGCAGGCGCGAAACCUUUACAAUGCACGAAAGUGUGAUAAGGGGAUCCUAAGUGCUUAUGCUUUGCAUAGGCUUUUGCCAUGAGUAAAAAUCAUGGAGAAUAAGUGGUGGGUAAGACUGGUGCCAGCCGCCGCGGUAACACCAGCGCCACGAGUGGUAACCGCAUUUAUUGGGCCUAAAGCGUCCGUAGCCGGUUCAAUUAAUCUUUUGUGAAAUUGUUAAGCUUAACUUAACUUCGUGCAGAAGACACUAUUGGACUUGGAACUGGGAGGAGUCAGAAGAAUGUCUUGGGGAGCGGUAAAAUGCUAUAAUCCAAGACAGACUACCCGUGGCGAAGGCGUCUGACUAGAACGGAUUCGACGGUGAGGGACGAAAGCUAGGGGAGCGAACCGGAUUAGAUACCCGAGUAGUCCUGGCUGUAAACUCUGCGAGCUAGGUGUUGCACAUUCCUCGUGAAUAUGCAGUGUCGUAGUGAAGACGUUUAGCUCGCCGCCUGGGAAGUAUGGUCGCAAGACUGAAACUUAAAGGAAUUGGCGGGGGAGCACUACAAGGGGUGCGGCGUGCGGUUUAAUCUAAUUCAACGCAGAGCAUCUCACCAGAAGCGACGGCAGGAUGAAAGUCAGUCUGAAGGGCUUACUUGACGAGCCCAGAGGUAGUGCAUGGCCGCCGUCAGCUCGUGCCGUAAGGUGUCCUGUUAAGUCAGGCAACGAGCGAGACCUGUAUUUACAAUUGCUAACGAGUUCAUCGAACGAUUGAGCACAUUGUAAGGACUGCCCUGGAAACAGGGAGGAAGGUGCAGGCUACGGUAGGUCUGUAUGCUCCGAAUCUUCUGGGCUACACGCGCGCAACAAUGGUAAAGACAAUGGGAUACAACUCCGAAAGGAGAAGUUAAUCCUCUAAACUUUACCUUAGUACAGAUUGAGGGUUGUAACUCACCCUCAUGACGCUGGAAUCCCUAGUAAUUGGACCUCAUCAUAGUCCAGUGAAUAUGUCCCUGCUCCUUGCACACACCGCCCGUCAAACCACCCGAGUAGGGUUUAGGUGAGGCUUAAUUUUCAAUUAUGUCGAAUCUAAGCUCCGCGAGGAGGGUUAAGUCGUCACAAGGUA
rnacentral:rRNA from 1 species